CCUACGGGUGGCAGCAGUAGGGAAUUUUGCGCAAUGGGGGAAACCCUGACGCAGCAACGCCGCGUGAUCGAUGAAGCCCUUCGGGGUGUAAAGAUCUGUCAGUGGGGACGAAACCUGACGGUACCCACAGAGGAAGCACCGGCUAACUCCGUGCCAGCAGCCGCGGUAAUACGGGGGGUGCAAGCGUUGUCCGGAAUCAUUGGGCGUAAAGGGUUCGUAGGUGGCACGUUAAGUCUGGUGUUAAAGGCGGAAGCUCAACUUCCGUAGGGCACUGGAUACUGGCGAGCUUGAAUGCGGUAGAGGUAAAGGGAAUUCCUGGUGUAGCGGUGAAAUGCGUAGAUAUCAGGAGGAACACCGGCGGCGAAGGCGGCCUGCUGGACCGCGACUGACGUUGAGGCUCGAAAGCGUGGGGAGCGAACAGGAUUAGAUACCCCUGUAGUC
rnacentral:rRNA from 1 species